rnacentral:rRNA from 1 species
ACUAAGCGUACACGGUGGAUGCCCUGGCAGUCAGAGGCGAUGAAGGACGUGCUAAUCUGCGAUAAGCGUCGGUAAGGUGAUAUGAACCGUUAUAACCGGCGAUUUCCGAAUGGGGAAACCCAGUGUGAUUCGUCACACUAUCAUUAACUGAAUCCAUAGGUUAAUGAGGCGAACCGGGGGAACUGAAACAUCUAAGUACCCCGAGGAAAAGAAAUCAACCGAGAUUCCCCCAGUAGCGGCGAGCGAACGGGGAGCAGCCCAGAGCCUGAAUCAGUGUGUGUGUUAGUGGAAGCGUCUGGAAAGGCGUGCGAUACAGGGUGACAGCCCCGUACACAAAAAUGCACAUAUUGUGAGCUCGAUGAGUAGGGCGGGACACGUGGUAUCCUGUCUGAAUAUGGGGGGACCAUCCUCCAAGGCUAAAUACUCCUGACUGACCGAUAGUGAACCAGUACCGUGAGGGAAAGGCGAAAAGAAC